rnacentral:snRNA from 1 species
AUACGUUUCUCAGCCUUUUGACUAAGAUAAUGUGUAAUAUUUGUUAUUAUUAUUUUAAUAUCUGAUAUGUGGAUCAUAUGUUCACUUUGAUAUUAAAUUUAUUUUUAUGGGUAUUUUUUGUGGGAUGGUCCACCACAC